rnacentral:rRNA from 1 species
GACAGAGGGUGCAAACGUUGUUCGGAAUUACUGGGCGUAAAGGGCGCGUAGGCGGCCUUCUAAGUCAGACGUGAAAUCCCCGGGCUCAACCCGGGAACUGCGUCUGAUACUGGAAGGCUUGAAUCCGGGAGAGGGAUGUGGAAUUCCAGGUGUAGCGGUGAAAUGCGUAGAUAUCUGGAGGAACACCGGUGGCGAAGGCGGCAUCCUGGACCGGUAUUGACGCUGAGGCGCGAAAACCAGGGGAGCAAACGGG